rnacentral:rRNA from 1 species
AUUGAACGCUGGCGGCAGGCCUAACACAUGCAAGUCGAACGAGUGGCGGACGGGUGAGUAAUGUCUGGGAAACUGCCUGAUGGAGGGGGAUAACUACUGGAAACGGUAGCUAAUACCGCAUACCAUCGGAUGUGCCCAGAUGGGAUUAGCUAGUAGGUGGGGUAAAGGCUCACCUAGGCGACGAUCCCUAGCUGGUCUGAGAGGAUGACAGCCGCCACUGGAACGGAGACACGGUCCAGGCUACUACGGGAGGCAGCAGUGGGGAACAUUGCACAAUGGGCGCGAGCCUGGUGCAGCCGUGCCGAGUGUAUGAAGAAGGCCUUCCGGUUGUAAAGUACUUUCAGCGGGGAGACGUUACCCGCAGAAGAAGCACCGGCUAACUCCGUGCCAGCCGCCGCGGUAAUAC